rnacentral:rRNA from 1 species
UACCCAACCACUAGCCCCAUAAACUUACGAAACCCCUACCAUAACCACCCCUAAACCAUUCUACACCAACAAGUAUCUUAGGCGAAAGAAAAUUACCAAAUGGGCGCAAUAGCGACUAGUACCAUAAGGGAAACCUGAAAGACCACUACCACACACAAGUAAAAGAAAGCAGGGAUUAAACCCCGUACCUCCCGCAUCAUGAUUUAGCAAGUCCCCCCAGAUCAAGAGACCUUAAACCUGCCCCCCCGAAACCAGUCGAUCUAUUUUAAGACAGCCACAACCUUGAGCGAACCCGUCUCUGUGGCAAAAGAGUGGGAAGAUCUUGAAAUAGCGGUAAAACACCAAUCGAGUCUGGCGAUAGCUGGUUGCUCAAUAACCGAGUCUAAGCUCUACUCUAGUUUGCACCCCCCCCACCUUUUAGACCAAUGUCAUUACUAGAAGCUCUGCAACAGAGGUACAGCCCUGUUGCAACCGACUACAAUCGGAAGUAGAGAGCACACAACACCACCUCCCCCCGUAGGCCUCAAACCAGCCACCACUGAAAACCGCGUUAAAGCCCAAACUCAUUAAAAUUCCAACCCCAACCACCCCCUCCUACUACCAAACUGAGCUAAUCUAUACGAAUAGAAGAACUCCUGCUAAAACUAGUAAUAAGAAACACUCUCUUAGACACACCCAUAAAACAGCCUUGAUAGACUACUGCUAAUUAACAGCCUCUAACAAAGAACAACAACCACCACUAACUCAAGACCUCCCUGUUAAACAAACUGUUACCCCAACACAGGCGUGUCAAAAAAGACAGAUUAAGAGUCAAGAGGGGAACUCGGCUAACACGUCCCAACUGUUUACCAAAAACAUUGCCUCUAGCACCCCAAGUAUUAAAGGUACUGCCUGCCCAGUGACACCUGUUAAACGGCCGCGGUACCCUAACCGCGCAAAGGUAGCGUAAUCACUUGUCUCCUAAAUAGAGACCCGUAUGAAUGGCCAAAUGAGGACUUAACUAUCCUUCCUGACUGAUCAAUGAACCUGAUCUCUUAGUACAAAAGCUGAGAUAACCCUAUAAGACGAGAAGACCCUGUGGAGCUUUAAGUUAAACCAUCAAGCCCAUAACGCACCUAUGAUACUACACUUAAGUUGGGGCAACUUUGAAAAAAAACCAAACUUUCAAGUUUUUAACCAGCAGCACAAGACUGACAAAUCACCCCUGCUCACAAACUGACCCAGUAAAACUGAUCAACGAACCAAGUUACCCCAGGGAUAACAGCGCAAUCCCCUUAAAGAGUCCCUAUCGCCAAGGGGGUUUACGACCUCGAUGUUGGAUCAGGACACCCCGGUGGUGCAGCAGCUACCAAAGGUUCGUUUGUUCAACGAUUAAUAGUCCUACGUGAUCUGAGUUCAGACCGGAGCAAUCCAGGUCGGUUUCUAUCUAUACAACCGCUUUCCCCAGUACGAAAGGACCAGGCUAAGCAAGGCCCAUACCCCCGGCACGCCUUCUUUUAAAAUGAAAAAAACUCAAUUAAACUAUCUUACCCCGGCCCCAGACUAGGGCCAACCCC